AUUGAACGCUGGCGGCAGGCCUAACACAUGCAAGUCGAGCGAGCGGCGGACGGGUGAGUAAUGUAUGGGGAUCGGCCCGAUAGAGGGGGUUAACUACUGGAAACGGGUGCUAUUACCGCAUACUGUCGGAUGAUCCCAUCUGGGCUUAGCUAGUUGGUGGGGUAAAGGCUCACCUGGGCGACGAUCUCUGGCUGGUCUGAGAGGAUGAUCAGCCACACUGGGACUGAGGGACGGCCCAGACGCCUACGGGAGGCAGCAGUGGGGAAUGUUGCACAAUGGGCGCAAGCCUGAUGCAGCCAUGCCGCGUGUAUGAAGAAGGCCUUGGGGUUGUAAAGGACGUUCAGCGGGGAGGCGUUACCCGCAGAAGAAGCACCGGCUAACUCCGUGCCAGCAGCCGCGGUAAUUC
rnacentral:rRNA from 1 species